ensembl:lncRNA
CGGUUAGGUUUGGUGCAGACGUGUACUUUCGGUUGUUGAAACUGUGGGAUGAAGUACCCAGCCGUCAAGAAUCAGUGCCCAUGUCAUUCCGACCUGCCAGCUUCACCAGGCCAGGCUAUGGACUAACCACCAGCCAGCUCCUCCAGGCCGGGCUCCAGCAGCAGCAGCCGCCUCUUGUGCAGGAGGACAGACUUUCUAAUUGACGGGAUUGCGGAUGAGAAAGGAGAGAAUUGGAAUGAAUCGGAGAAGAAGGUACGACAAAUGUUUUCAAGCGACCUGGGCCUGGACAGCACCAAGAUGGACAUUGAGCGUGCCCAGAGGAUUGGGCACAUAAAUGAGGACUUCUCAGAAAACGGUUCGACUGAGGAGGAAAGAGCUGUGACCAAAGUUGAAAGCUGCCAGUGAAAGAG